GACGAACGCUGGCGGCGUGCUUAACACAUGCAAGUCGAACGGAAAGGCCCUGCUUUUGUGGGGUGCUCGAGUGGCGAACGGGUGAGUAACACGUGAGUAACCUGCCCUUGACUUUGGGAUAACUUCAGGAAACUGGGGCUAAUACCGGAUAGGAGCUCCUGCUGCAUGGUGGGGGUUGGAAAGUUUCGGCGGUUGGGGAUGGACUCGCGGCUUAUCAGCUUGUUGGUGGGGUAGUGGCUUACCAAGGCUUUGACGGGUAGCCGGCCUGAGAGGGUGACCGGCCACAUUGGGACUGAGAUACGGCCCAGACUCCAACGGGAGGCAGCAGUGGGGAAUAUUGCACAAUGGGCUGAAGCCUGAUGCAGCAACGCCGCGUGCGGGAUGACGGCCUUCGGGUUGUAAACCGCUUUCGCCUGUGACGAAGCGUGAGUGACGGUAAUGGGUAAAGAAGCACCGGCUAACUACGUG
rnacentral:rRNA from 1 species